rnacentral:rRNA from 1 species
UACGUAGGGGGCAAGCGUUGUCCGGAUUUAUUGGGCGUAAAGAGCGUGUAGGCGGCCAGACAAGUCUGCUGUGAAAACUCGAGGCUCAACCUCGAGCUGUCGGUGGAAACUGUUUGGCUAGAGUCCGGAAGAGGAGAGUGGAAUUCCUGGUGUAGCGGUGAAAUGCGCAGAUAUCAGGAAGAACACCCGUGGCGAAGGCGGUUCUCUGGGACGGUACUGACGCUGAGACGCGAAAGCGUGGGGAGCGAACAGG